rnacentral:rRNA from 1 species
AGUGAAUAGAUACCCAGGUAGUCCCAGCCGUAAACGAUGCUCGCUAGGUGUCAGGCAUGGCGCGACCGUGUCUGGUGCCGCAGGGAAGCCGUGAAGCGAGCCACCUGGGAAGUACGGCCGCAAGGCUGAAACUUAAAGGAAUUGGCGGGGAGCACAACAACGGGUGGAGCCUGCGGUUUAAUUGGACUCAACGCCGGACAACUCACCGGGGGCGACAGCAAUAUGUAGGCCAAGCUGAAGACUUUGCCUGAAUCGCUGAGAGGAGGUGCAUGGCCGUCGCCAGUUCGUACUGUGAAGCAUCCUGUUAAGUCAGGCAACGAGCGAGACCCGUGCCCACUGUUACCAGCAUGUCCUGGUACGGA